rnacentral:rRNA from 1 species
GAUGAACGCUGGCGGCGUGCCUAAUACAUGCAAGUCGAGCGAACGGACGAGAAGCUUGCUUCUCUGAUGUUAGCGGCGGACGGGUGAGUAACACGUGGAUAACCUACCUAUAAGACUGGGAUAACUUCGGGAAACCGGAGCUAAUACCGGAUAAUAUUUUGAACCGCAUGGUUCAAAAGUGAAAGACGGUCUUGCUGUCACUUAUAGAUGGAUCCGCGCUGCAUUAGCUAGUUGGUAAGGUAACGGCUUACCAAGGCAACGAUGCAUAGCCGACCUGAGAGGGUGAUCCGCCACACUGGGACUGAGACACGGUCCCGACUCCUAAGGGAGGCAGCAGUGGGGAAUUUUGCGCAAUGGGCGAAAGCCUGACCGAGCAAAGCCGCGUGAGUGAAGAAGGGCUUCGGGUUGGAAAACUCUUUUGUUUGGGAAGAACAUAUGUGUAAGUAACUGUGCACAUCUUGACGGUACCGAAUCAGAAAGCCACGGCUAACUACGUG